rnacentral:tRNA from 1 species
GCAAGUUAGCUCAGUUGGGUAGAGUGCUGGUCUGUCACGCCAGAAGUCGCGGUUCGAACCCCGUUUUCC